GCAAAAGAUUGAAGGUUGUCAAGAGGUCAUAUGUACAAUAUGAAUAACCAGAACUAAAUUUCUCCUGGAGACAAAGAAACCAAAGCUUACAGCAGGAUUCCGUGGACUGACGAGUGAGACGAUCCCAGAACACCUCAUACAGUCCUUGGGACACAGGAGGCCUACUGUCCCUCUGUUUGUUUGCCUUUCACUAUAUCCAGAAAAGACCAAAAUGAAUUUUCAUUCAAUUUAGAAGGUUCUCAGGAUCCCAUGGAUCGUUUCUGUCAUGCAGAAGACUGUCUCAAGGGCUUCUGUCCAUGAGAGCAAAGGAUCUGCACCUUUUUGAGAGCUGAGCGGCGUUGCUCGCAAAAUGUCUCCUGGUCUUAACCAAUAUGGGAGAUGUGGUCCCCUGAGGACAAUCUUCAACAAGGAAAAAGGCUUCUCCGUUAUUCUGAAGGUUGAUGGUUGGCGAUGAGGCCUGGGAAGAAGGCAGCCAUGUAUGGUCAGGUCCUCUGACAUAGAGGCCAUCCUGUAGAACGCCUAGCAGUAUUAAGUGCCUCAUGAUUCACUCCCCACCAGCUCUGGAUUUAUGGUCAGGCAGCCAGGCAGUACAGAUGACUCAAUCAGCAUGCUACGCGUUUAGAUUUUUUCUUUUACAAGGCAAUGAUGGUUCUACCAUCAAGCUUUUUGCUUUCCUAAAGAAAGUCCUAUUGUCUGCUCGCAGCGCUGGUCUUUAGAUAAGUAAGAAGUGUAUGAGGUAUCAAGUGCCUUGAAUGUCACCUGCUGGAGAGCAAAAUACGACUACUAAUAACUCAGUUUAUUGAGCUCUUUUAGUAUGGGCCAGGCACUCUGCUAAGCUUUUUACAUACAGAAAGUCUUUUUUUUUUUUCAAUAUAGCUUUUUUAUUUCCAGAGAGCAUGUGCACCCACCAGAGAGAAAGAGAGAGAAAGC